CUGUACAGGAGAGUAAGCAGUAAAGCAACACACACUGAGAUCAAAUCAGAUUUUAUUUGUCACGUUUCCUAAACAACAUGUGUGGACUAACAGUGAAAUGCUGACGUCCCCUUCCCAACAACGCAGAGAGAAACAAAAUAGAGAAAUAAUAGAAAAGUAAUAAUAAAUAAGCAAUGAGUAACAAUAACUUGGCUAUACACACAGAGUUUAUAGAGACAUACCCCAAGAGACUUGCAGCUGUAAUUGCUGCAAAAGGUGGCUCUUCAAGGUAUUGCCUUUGUGGGGGUGAAUAAUUAUGCACGCUCAAGUUUUCUGUUUUUUUUGUCUUACUUCUUGUUUGUUUUACAAUAAAACAUAUUUUGCAUCUUCAAAGUGGUAGGCAUGUUGUGUAGAUCAAAUGAUACAACCCCCCCCCCAAAAAAAUCCAUUUAUAUUCCAGGUUGUAAGGCAACAAAAUAGGAAAAAUGCCAAGGGGUGAAUGCUUUCGCAAGCUACUGUACCUAUCUCUGUCUGUCUGUAUGUCUCUCUCACUUUUACUAUCUCUCUCUAUCCAUCUCCCUCUGUCUCUCUUCCCUCUCUUUGUCUGUCCAUCUCACUCUGUGUCUCUCUCUAUACCUGGUUAUAAGAUGCAUCCUUUGUCCUGAUCUUGUCCACAUUCUUAUUGUGCCCACAUUUCCAGACAGGUGUAGAUGAUUAAAAGACACAUUGUGUUCUGAUUGAGUUCAGAUCUUCCUGACCACCUUCGUAGGUAGUAAGGCACUCAUUGUGUCUGGAUAUCUUACAAAUGUAGACGGAUCUGGACAGUGAAACCAUUUAAAUCGUCAUUGUCCUGUCUUCUAAAAUCAUUGACACGUGGCACCAUUGACUUAUAUCAUCAAUAUCUGUCUUAAAAUAAAUCAGAAUUAUUUUGACAAAUAAAUUGCUUACAGGGAGUGACAGGGAAAUGUGGUCACAAUGCAGACACAGUGGGCGGAUAAGAGACACAUUUUGAUACCAUGUAUAAACAUAUUUCUGACAAUGUGGGCACAAUGUAUAAACAAGGCUUCUGUGUGAAUGUCACCCCAUCUCUCUCCCUCCUCAAUCUCUCUCUUGCCUCUCUGUCUCCUCAUUUCUCUCUUGUCUCUCUGUCUCCUCAAUCUCUCUCUCUCUCUCUCUCUCUCUCUCUCUCUCUCUCUCUCUCUCUCUCUCCGUGCUCCACUUCUCUUGUUGGCUGUCUGCCAGGGACUGGCGCCCCACUGUGAAAGCACCUGUACUAGCUCUCCAGGCUGAUUGCCAGGCCUGUACAGGGGGUCAAGAAACUUACGGUGGGAGUCGUCUAAGGUCCAAUCUGGCCCAAGCAGUCUGCCUAACACCAACCCAGUGCCCAGAGAGGGCGAGAAACUGUCAUAACACCGGCAAGGCUGCCAGGACUGGUCGUCACGGAGAUGUUGUUCUCACGUGAUUAACAUCACUAAAUGUGUGACACUGUUUCAGUGUAGGGCAAGUGGGCCUCUGAGAGAGAUACUGGCUGUCCUUUAGAAUGAGCAAAACUUCAUUAAUCUUUCUACAGCGCUUGUUCUCCCCCUUCUUGUCCCAAGUAUCAACAACCAUUAUCUGGGUCAUAGGAUAAUCUUUACUGUCUUAAAAAAUAUUCUGUCUGUGUGUGUGUGUGUGUGUGUGUGUGUGUGUGUGUGUGUGUGUGUGUGUGUGUGUGUGUGUGUGUUUAUGUGUGUGUGUGCGCGCGCGUGUGUGUGUGUGUGUUCUUAAACCUGUAAACCUUUUCAUUUCCCAGAAGGGUCAGCUCCAACAGCGCCUGGACAAUGUGGAGAGGGACUUCCUCAUCUUCAACAGAGAAAGGUCAAAGAAGGCUGUAGUGGGAACAGAAGCAACAGGCCUCACCACGGCAGAGAAGAACAAGGCUAUUGAAGACGGACAGAACAACAACGUGGACCCAGCAGCCUACAUAUCAGGAUAGUGGACUACGGCUUUAGCCCGAAGUCGCUACGUGUAUCUGGCCGCAGCUUGUAGAUCAACACCCAAUCUCCCACUCAGAUUGACCUUUAACCCUGACACAUUCCCCAACAGCCAGCCACUAUACCCAGACUGCUGGAGGUCACAUAAACUACUACUUUACAGAGUGAGUGGCACCUGACAUAAAGCAGACAGACAGACCCUGGCUCGUUCUUCUUUUCCUAGCCCAGAGAUGUGGCCUCUCAGUGGUCACCCCUUCUUACACUCUGCCCUACCCUGACUUGGUCUGACUUUGCCUGAUGCACCAUGAUCCCCUGGAGCUCCCCUCCCUCCACCAAGUCAGCCAGGCCCAGAAAAUGAUUUGCCUGCCAACCCAGCAGGAAGCAGAGACAGACAGGAUACAGCCACCAUGCCUGCUAAGCUGAGGCUAGGCUCAGGCCAGGAAGAAAAUGAAGCCUGAUGUUGACAAAUAGGAUACUAUGUUUGCAGUACAUGAAAACAGAGAAAGGGGGUGUAAGUUGCCUCACAAAAAAUGAAUAAUAAUUAGAGAUGAGAUAUACUGCCUUUGUUUUCAAGACACCAACCACAGAUUCCUCUUGGAAUACAAAGGGAACCACUGACUUCAGCAGAGACAGAGUUUACUUAAUGAGUCUCUGUGAUGAUGUUAGGCAUCACUUGUGCCUCUCAAGCAAACCAAGAUGACGGGUACUUGACAUGGACAUUUGGGAUAUAAAUAUUUAUAGAUAAAUAGAUAUUUAUUGUCUGUUCCGCACAGAAAAUAGCUUUGCACACGCUUCUCCAUUAAUCGUAGAGGUCAAAGUGUAGUGUCUGAAUUCUCUUCUGUUUAAUAUAGGGGUGCCGUAUAGCUACUACUGUAUAUGGCACCUGAUUGGUUUCCCCAUGCAGACAAUGAUAAUCAUAUAUGUAGUCUAAUUGAAGUCACCAUCCUGUUGUUCAAUAUGUGCUUGAAAAAUAGCUUUGCCAGUCUUUUGACCCUUUCUGCAAUACAAUUACAUAUUAUCCAAGGCUUUCCCUGUCGCUGGUUACCAGAUCUCCUAUUGGCACCUUUAUAACAACCAUUAUCGGUACAGAUAUUCUAAUUAUUGUAGGUUUUGAUAAAUGUAUGUCAUUCAAGGGCCCAAUGAAAGCAGAGUUGUAAAAUGAGUACUCUUAUUUGGUUUUCCAUUUGUUGUCACUGUGUGGACUAUUACCUGUAAAUGUGGUCAAGCAGCGAUUAUAAAAGUUGUGCCUUAAUGUAAUACUUUUCUUUGGGACCCCGACCUUAUUAUUUUAUUAAAUACACAAAAUGAGCAGUUGGGUAACAUCUGGGAAUUCAAAAGGAAAAGUUCACCAGUGGUUGUUUUUGCUAUUGAAAAGUACCACAGUAAUAAAGUGCUUUAGGGGUUACCUAACUAA